UACGUAGGCAGCAAGCGUUGUUCGGAAUUACUGGGCGUAAAGAGUGUGUAGGCGGUGUUCCAAGUCUGGUGUGAAAUCUCCCGGCUUAACUGGGAGGGUGCAUUAGAAACUGGAAUGCUAGAGGAUGGGAGAGGUAAGCGGAAUUCCUGGUGUAGCGGUGAAAUGCGUAGAUAUCGAGAGGAACACCAGUGGCGAAGGCGAGUCUCUGGACGACACCUGACACUGAGGCACGAAAGCUAGGGGAGCAAACAGG
rnacentral:rRNA from 1 species